AGCGAACGCUGGCGGCAGGCUUAACACAUGCAAGUCGAGCGCCCGGGGCAACCCCGGGAGCGGCAGACGGGAGAGGUAACACGUGGGAACGUACCCUUUGGUUCGGAACAACCCAGGGAAACUUGGGCUAAUACCGGAUAAGCCCUUACGGGGAAAGAUUCAUCGCCGAAGGAUCGGCCCGCGUCUGAUUAGCUAGUUGGUGGGGUAAUGGCCCACCAAGGCGACGAUCAGUAGCUGGUCUGAGAGGAUGAUCAGCCUCACUGGGACUGAGACACGGCCCAGACUCCUACGGGAGGCAGCAGUGGGGAAUAUUGGACAACGGGCGCAAGCCUGAUCCAGCCAUGCCGCGUGGGUGAUGAAGGCCCUAGGGUUGUAAAGCCCUUUCGGCGGGGAAGAUAAUGACGGUACCCGCAGAAGAAGCCCCGGCUAACUUCGUG
rnacentral:rRNA from 1 species